rnacentral:rRNA from 1 species
GUACACGCUGUGACUAGCAUAUCAAUAAGCGGAGGAAAAGAAACUAACAAGGAUUCCCCUAGUAACGGCGAGUGAAGCGGGAAGAGCUCAAAUUUGAAAUCUUAAAGGGUUUCCCUUUACGAAUUGUAGUUUAAAGAAGUGUUUUCUGUUGAGGUUUUGGUAGAAGUUCUUUGGAAUAGGACAUCAUAGAGGGUGAGAAGUCCCGUAUUUGACCUAUACUUUCAACUUUGUGAUACACUUUCAAAGAGUCGGAUUGUUUGGGAAUGCAGUCCAAAAUGGGUGGUAAAUUUCAUCUAAAGCUAAAUAUUGGCGAGAGACCGAUAGCGAACAAGUACCGUGAGGGAAAGAUGAAAAGAACUUUGAAAAGGGAGUUAAACAGUACGUGAAAUUGUCAAAAGGGAAGCGUUUGACACCAGUGUUGUUUUUCUGAAAAUCAAUUAAAGAACUGUUUAUGCUAAGUUGUUUAGACUUUAUCAGCUAACUGUUUAGUUUUGAGCUUUUCUUUAAUGCACUUUUCAGUUAACAAGUCAACAUCAAUUUCUUUUGCUGUAAAAAAGCUUGAGGAAGGUGGCUUGAGAUUCGUCUUAAGUGUUUAUAGCCUCUUGCCUAUGCAGUCGGAGAGAUUGAGGUCUGCAGCGUAGAUCCUUCGGGGCUAAAUGCAUUUGUGCUAAGUUAUAGCAUUUUAUAGACAACUUGUUGACUAUGAUUUGUCUUGUAGCUUACUCGCUUAUGUUAUUUUACCUACGCUUAGGAUGUUGAAGAUGUAGCACAUCAU